CGCAGCCGCGGUAAUUCCAGCUCCAAUAGCGUAUAUUAAAGUUGUUGCGGUUAAAAAGCUCGUAGUUGAAUUUCGGGAUCAAUUUAUCGGUCGUGCCAAUGGUAUGAACUGGUACAAUUGGUCUCUCCCUUCUGAAGAACCAUGAUGUCAUUAAUUUGGUGUUGUGGGGAAUCAGGACUGUUACUUUGAAAAAAUUAGAGUGUUUAAAGCAGGCUUAGGCUUGAAUACAUUAGCAUGGAAUAAUGAAAUAGGACGCUUUGAUCCUAUUUCGUUGGUUUCUAGGAUCGACGUAAUGAUUAAUAGGGAUAGUUGGGGGCAUUAGUAUUCAAUUGUCAGAGGUGAAAUUCUUGGAUUUAUUGAAGACUAACUACUGCGAAAGCAUUUGCCAAGGAUGUUUUCAUUAAUCAAGAACGAAAGUUAGGGGAUCGAAGACGAUCAGAUACCGUCGUAGUCUUAACCAUAAACUAUGCCGACUAGGGAUCGGAUGAUGUUAAUUUUUAAAUGACUCA
rnacentral:rRNA from 1 species